GACGAACGCUGGCGGCGUGCCUAAUACAUGCAAGUCGAGCGAGCGGAACUAACAGAUUUACUUCGGUAAUGACGUUAGGAAAGCGAGCGGCGGAUGGGUGAGUAACACGUGGGGAACCUGCCCCAUAGUCUGGGAUACCACUUGGAAACAGGUGCUAAUACCGGAUAAGAAAGCAGAUCGCAUGAUCAGCUUUUAAAAGGCGGCGUAAGCUGUCGCUAUGGGAUGGCCCCGCGGUGCAUUAGCUAGUUGGUAAGGUAAAGGCUUACCAAGGCGAUGAUGCAUAGCCGAGUUGAGAGACUGAUCGGCCACAUUGGGACUGAGACACGGCCCAAACUCCUACGGGAGGCAGCAGUAGGGAAUCUUCCACAAUGGACGCAAGUCUGAUGGAGCAACGCCGCGUGAGUGAAGAAGGUUUUCGGAUCGUAAAGCUCUGUUGUUGGUGAAGAAGGAUAGAGGUAGUAACUGGCCUUUAUUUGACGGUAAUCAAACAGAAAGUCACGGCUAACUACGUG
rnacentral:rRNA from 1 species